rnacentral:rRNA from 1 species
GAUUUCUGGUAUGGCGCACUUGGCCCGCCGAGGUUACUCGGUUGUGUGCCGGUGUGCGCCUGCCAUCCUUCUAGGGAACGAUACUACCCUUUACUGGGUGGGUGUCGCUAUCUAGAUCUUUUACUUUGAAAAAAUUAGAGUGUUUAAAGCAGGCUUGCGCUAUGAAUACAUUAGCAUGGAAUAAUAAUUUAGGACUUUGGUCUUAUUUUGUUGGUUUCUAGGACUAAAGUAAUGAUUGAUAGGGAUAGUUGGGGGUGCUAGUAUUCAGCGGCCAGAGGUGAAAUUCUUGGAUUCGCUGAAGACUAACUUAUGCGAAAGCAUU